UACGAAGGUCCGAGCGUGUUCGGAUCGACUGGGCGUAAAGGGAGCGUAGGCGGCGCGGUAAGUCAGAUGUGAAAUCCCGGGGCUCAACCCCGGAACUGCAUCCGAUACUGCCGUGCUAGAGGAUUGGAGAGGUAGCUGGAAUUCUUGGUGUAGCAGUGAAAUGCGUGGAGAUCAAGAGGAACACUCGUGGCGAAAGCGAGCUACUGGACAAUAUCUGACGGCUGAGGCUCGAAGGCCAGGGUAGCGAAAGGG
rnacentral:rRNA from 1 species